CGUGGCAAACACGUGGAGAAAAUAAAAAGGACAAAUAUGUCUUUUUACCCAAAUGGCAGACCUAAUUGGUUUUUUUUUAUUGACAGAAAUAUAAAUAAAUAAAUAAAGGGCUUGUAUGAAGGAGUCGUCAAGCCCUCCGCCGGAGACGACGUCAUUGCAGGUGAAUGCUUGUUAGGUCCAGGUUGACUGACAGAGGAAGCACCCAGAAUCACACAGUUGUCCAAAGUAGACCUGAAAUCGGCCCUAUUUAAGCAAAACGUGACCCGAAAUCGGCCCUCUUCAUGCAGAUCAGGGUCCAGAAGACUGAGAUCUUGGGUUUCAUUAUUCAUCGUGUUUGCUAAUGAUUCCCAAGAAAUUAAACAAACCUUUUAGCAAUAUCACACAGAUGUAGAAUCAUUUCAUCCAAACAAAAAAGAAUGCAACGCAACAGCAUACGAGUUGCACCAAAGUACCAAACGACUAUCAUCUGGGUUUAAUUCAUCUGACUCUCUCCACAGUCCACACCGGCCUUCAUCUAUCAUCUUCUUCACAGCCAUAACCCAAAUGAUUUUACAUCUGGUUUUAAUUCAUCAAGGGAGAAGCAGAUUUGAUGAGACAGAAAACAAAUUUGGGAUCUACUCUCGUAAUUCUUCGUCAAUCGGAGCUCUACCAGCUAUAAAUUUGAUGAAUUUUCUUUCUUCACCACCCACAAACCCAGACUCCGCUUCCCCCUUAUCUCCUCCGCUUCCAAAGAUGUCUGGAGAAGAACACCCCACCCCAAAAAGACGCCGUCCCAACCAUCCGAACCAUUCCGCCACCGCCGCAAGCUCCAAGGCACCACCUUCCUGGACCACAGCAUCGACAUGGACGAUCUCACCGCCUCAAUCCGUGCCACCCAAAACGAGCACGACCUCAACUCCCUCCUCUUCCCCUACAAGUCCAUGGCUGGGUUCAUCGCAGUAACAACGGAAAGAAGAAGAGGAGAGAGAAAAUUAUAAAACAAUUAUUUAAUUAAAGAAUUAAAUUGUUGGUAGAAGUUGAGGUUAUUUUGGUCAUUUGCCAUCUCUGUUUUCUCCACGUGCUUGCCACGUCAGCUCUUUAACGGAACCGUUACGAAAAUUUAACGGAAGUAUGUCGUUGAUAGCAAUAUAAGACUUUAGGUAUCACAUUGAUAGCUUUGUGAGUCUGGGUAUCAAACUGGUCGGUGCACAAGAGUUGAGGGACUGUUGGUGCAUUUUCUCAUGAAUCAAUGUUGGAUUUCUUCUGCUAUCGGUUGAUCUGGAAGUCCAUAUAUCAUUUCCUUUUGCUGCAAAAAGCCCAUAGAUGCAAAUCAACACCUUUGUACCAAUCCUCAAGGUGUUGGAAAUGGCUGGUCUCUCCAAUUGGGAAUAAA